rnacentral:rRNA from 1 species
UACGUAGGGUGCAAGCGUUGUCCGGAAUUAUUGGGCGUAAAGAGCUCGUAGGCGGCUUGUCACGUCGACUGUGAAAACCCGGGGCUCAACUCCGGACCUGCAGUCGAUACGGGCUGGCUUGAGUGCGGUAGGGGAGACUGGAAUUCCUGGUGUAGCGGUGAAAUGCGCAGAUAUCAGGAGGAACACCGGUGGCGAAGGCGGGUCUCUGGGCAGUAACUGACGCUGAGGAGCGAAAGCGUGGGGAGCGAACAGG